rnacentral:rRNA from 1 species
GACGAACGCUGGCGGCGUGCCUAAUACAUGCCAGUAGAACGCACAGUUUAUACCGUAGCUUGCUACACCAUACACUGUGAGUUGCGAACGGGUGAGUAACGCGUAGGUAACCUGCCUGGUAGCGGGGGAUAACUAUUGGAAACGAUAGCUAAUACCGCAUAAUAUUAAUUAUUGCAUGAUAAUUGAUUGAAAGAUGCAAUUGCAUCACUACCAGAUGGACCUGCGUUGUAUUAGCUAGUAGGUGAGGUAACGGCUCACCUAGGCGACGAUACAUAGCCGACCUGAGAGGGUGAUCGGCCACACUGGGACUGAGACACGGCCCAGACUCCCACGGGAGGCAGCAGUAGGGAAUCUUCGGCAAUGGACGAAAGUCUGACCGAGCAACGCCGCGUGAGUGAAGAAGGGUUUCGGAUCGUAAAGCUCUGUUGUAAGAGAAGAACGGGUGUGAGAGUGGAAAGUUCACACUGUGACGGUAUCUUACCAGAAAGGGACGGCUAACUACGUG